ensembl:lncRNA
GGGGAAAUCCUUGUGUGUAUAUGUUUAUCUUAUUGGUUGAUAAAUAAAGCAUUGUUGGCCAAUAGGGGAGCAAGUUAGGUGGGACUAGGAGUUGAGGAGGAUUCUGGGAAAUGUAGUAGAGACAGCAGCCACCACGUGAUCACCAGGAAGACAGGAUAUAUUCCACCAGCGUGCUCAAUAAGAUAAGUUUAUAAAAUAUAUAGAUUAAUAGUUAUGGGUGAUACUUAAGACAGAGUUAGCAAAUAAAUCUUUGUCAUUGGCCAGAGGCACUGUACCUAAUAUAAGACUCAGUGUGUUAUUCUGGACGCCCACGUGGCGGCGGGGCUCGGGUGACGUAGCAGAAAGAUUUAUCAUUACCAAAUGGUGUCAGGACAUGGUUUUAUGAACUUCCACAUAAAAACUUCACAAAAACUUAAAAAGGGAAUUUAGAAGCAAAGGAACAGAGACAAGCACUACUUCUUGGUAGUGGUAUUUUCUCGGGUAGUCUCUGUUUUGCUAGAGACAAGCAGAUACUCAAGUGGCUCCUUUAAGAGAGGCUUCCUGACUCAGCAUAAUUGGAAAAAAAAGAAAACAAAAACAAAAAACCACAGGGCUCUUGCUAACAAUUGAAUGGUAUGUAUGAGCAGCUGGCAGUGGCAGCAACCACAUCUCCAAGCCGAAAGCGUGUUCCUUGAUGACAGCAUAGACCAAGGCAGUGAGCAUAGCUCUCAGUGCUGGCGGUAAACAUACCUUCGCCAUCUUGGAAAGACAUCCACUAAAGCAGCCACUGCUUUAAUUUUAGCAAUGCUGUUUAGCAGAUAAAAGAUCGUGUAGCCAGAAAAAGGUAAAGAUUUACAGUAAAGACAGAUUCAGAUGAAGAAAAACUCCUAAAGGUUUACAGUGUAUUUAAAAAUAUAUGUAGGCUUGUGAGAGAAAAGAACAGGAUAAAGUAAUUGAGAGAGAGAGAGAGAGAGAGAGAGAAGAGAGAGAGAGAGAGAAAGAGAAGCCAGUGGUGGUGGCACACGCCAGUAGGAUUUGCUGAAGGAAGCAGAGGCAGGCGGAUUUCCACGGAGAAACCUUGUCUCAGGGGGGGGAAAAAAAGGAAGUAAAAGAAAUAGAAUAUUAAAAAGCCAGGUAAAGAUGGAAAAUACUCACAGAGUCUGGAUACUAUAUGUUAUACUGUUGUCUUUAAAUUGUUUGAUUGCCGAGGAAAGAGCUACAGCUGAUAAAACACAUUUGAUUAUAAGUGCUACUCAAUUAGUCCAACUUAUAUAUUUUUAAAAUGCUUUGACUUCUAAAUUUAAAUAUAAGGACAGGUUACUUGGGAGAAGAAUUUCUACUUACGUUUCCACAUAAAAUGGAAAGCUGUGGAUUCCUUCCAGACUAAUUUGGUUUGAUCAAGCAAGACCCCCUGAAGCAGUGGCCCAACCGAUCCUACAUCCAAAACAGCUGAGACGAUGCAGCCUUGCAGACUACAAAAACAAGGAACUGGCCUGAUUUCUGUGUUUUAUCAUGAUCCCCCAUGGUGUGGACAUCACCCCCAACCAGCAGGAAGCAGUUUGGAACGAACGAUGCCCAAGUUCCCAAAUAUUGUUUAUAAAUGUUUGUUUUCAUUUAAAUAGGGUUGGUUAUAAAUGGUAAUGAUCACAGUCAAUCUCUUUUUAAAGGAAAAAAGGGGAAUAGAAUAUAGAAAUGAAUACAUUGGUAUGGAUUUUCAUUUAUUGAUACAAAUUUAAGGUUAAUUUUGUUAUAUGUAAAUUUCUCCUCUUGUUUGGUAUUGUGUUUAUACAGAUCUUUUAAAAUGUAAUGUAUAAUUAAAUGCAAAUUAUAUAGUCACCUAUAAUAGUCAGAACUUAUAAUUAGGUUAGUUAGGUUUUCUAGCUAUAGAGAGAUGUGUUUGAGAUGGAUAGACAAAGACCUACAGAAUAUAUGGCAUUUAAAUGGUUUAGGGUUUUUCAUGGCAGUGAGACACAACUGCUCCUGGCACACCAAUUACAUCUGAGAGGAAGAUGGGCAUUGAAGAAACUCAUUAUGGAGUUUGCUUUCAAUGUGGCAAGAUUAGCCAUUUGGGCAAGAAACUGCUCUUGUCUGGACUGUUUGAUAAACUGGACAUGCAGGACCCACAGGAAAGUGACUGCUGAACUUAGAAAACAAGAUGGAAAGUUGUGAAGAGUCCCUGCUUCAAGGAAGCAUCUGCCAGACAUUCUGCAGGACACAGAGGAAAUUGGCUGACAAACUGCCAAUACAGGUGGACAGUUUAAAAUUUCCUGCUUCACUGAGAAGUCUGCCAGACAUACUGUGGCCUAUAGACUGAAGACAGGAUAAAUUCCAUCAGUGUGCCCCAACGUUACAAAGGAACUUCGGGUCACUGUCCAGGCAGCGAGAUAUCUCUGUCAGUUCUAGAGUUUAUUUAUUAUCCUUCUGUGGUCUUUGUUGGAGUUGAAGACAGAUAGUUAUGGUUAUAGUUUUCUUUAGUUAUUAUAAAAGAUAAGCUACAUAUAAGACUUUAGACUCACAAAGAUGGGAUAGAUGAUAGAAUAUUUUCUUUAAAUCUUGCUAAAUGUUAAUGGACUAAAUAUUGUAACUAUAGUUCUUACUUGAUAACUGUUUUGUUAUAUAUUUUACUAUGUUAAUGUUAACACCCUUCUUUUUACUUAGACAGAAAAGAGAAAAUUAUGGGGGAGGUCCUUGUGUGUAUAUGUUUGUCUUAUUGGUUGAUAAAUAAAGCACUGUUGGCCAAUAGGAGAGCAAGUUAGGUGGGACUAGGAGUUGAGGAGGAUUCUGGGAAAUGUAGUAGAGACAGCAGCCACCAUGUGAUCACCAGGAAGACAGGAUAUAUUCCACCAGUGUGCUCAAUAAAAUAAGUUUAUAAAAUAUAUAGAUUAAUAGUUAUGGGUGAUACUUAAGACAGAGCUAGCAAAUAGGAAAUCUUAGUCAUUGGCCAGUAGCAUUGUACCUAAUACAAGACUCUGUGUGUUAUUUUGGACACCCACAUGGCGGCAGGGCUUGGGCAGCUUGGCAGAAAGAUUUAUCAUUACAAUUCCGUCUUACAGCAUACUGUCCAUCAUCCAGGGAAGCUAAGGCAAACCCAGAGGCAAGAACAGAAGCAGAGGCCAUGGAGGAUAAUGCUCACUGGCUGCCUCAGCUUGUUCACUUAUACAAGCCAGGGCCACCUGCCAGGGGUCACACUAUCCACAUCAAUCAUUAAUCAAGAAAAUGCCCCCCUCAGACUUGCUCACUGGCCAAUCUGAUGGAGGCAACCCCUCAAGGAAGGGGUCCACUUUCCCAGGCAUCAGGUUGAAAAAACCAACCAGCACACACAGGCUAUCAAAUGCAUGGCUAAUUCUACAUGAGAAGUCCACCAACUAUAUGUUAAGAGUUGUCUUUGUCAUGGUCUGUGGUUUAGAGCACUUAAUUGCUCUUGCAGAGGGCCCAAGUUCGAGUCCCAGCACCCACAUGGUGGCUCAAAACUGUCUGCAACUCCAGUUCCAAGGGAUCCAGUGCCCUCCCCUGACCUCUGUGAGCAGCAGGCAGAAAAGCAAGUGACGUCGUCGUUGGAG